rnacentral:rRNA from 13 species
GGGUUGUGAGGUUAAGCGACUAAGCGUACACGGUGGAUGCCCUGGCAGUCAGAGGCGAUGAAGGACGUGCUAAUCUGCGAAAAGCGUCGGUAAGGUGAUAUGAACCGUUAUAGCCGGCGAUGUCCGAAUGGGGAAACCCAGUGCAAUUCGUUGCACUAUCGUUUGAUGAAUACAUAGUCAAACGAGGCGAACCGGGGGAACUGAAACAUCUAAGUACCCCGAGGAAAAGAAAUCAACCGAGAUUCCCCCAGUAGCGGCGAGCGAACGGGGAGCAGCCCGGAGUCUGAAUCAGCUUGUGUGUUAGUGGAAGCGUCUGGAAAGUCGCAGGGUACAGGGUGAUACUCCCGUACACUAAAACACACAGGCUGUGAACUCGAAGAGUAGGGCGGGACACGUGGUAUCCUGUCUGAAUAUGGGGGGACCAUCCUCCAAGGCUAAAUACUCCUGACUGACCGAUAGUGAACCAGUACCGUGAGGGAAAGGCGAAAAGAACCCCGGCGAGGGGAGUGAAAAAGAACCUGAAACCGUGUACGUACAAGCAGUAGGAGCCCCACCACCAAAGCGUUUCGCUUUGCGUGGUGCGCAAAAUGCGUAACGACAGCAUGAUGGACGGUUAACGGAGCGUCAGCGACGUUCAACCUCAAAAAUCAGGCAGUGGAGCGUUUUGGGGUGGGGUGACUGCGUACCUUUUGUAUAAUGGGUCAGCGACUUAUAUUCUGUAGCAAGGUUAACCGUAUAGGGGAGCCGCAGGGAAACCGAGUCUUAACUGGGCGUUAAGUUGCAGGGUAUAGACCCGAAACCCGGUGAUCUAGCCAUGGGCAGGUUGAAGGUUGGGUAACACUAACUGGAGGACCGAACCGACUAAUGUUGAAAAAUUAGCGGAUGACUUGUGGCUGGGGGUGAAAGGCCAAUCAAACCGGGAGAUAGCUGGUUCUCCCCGAAAGCUAUUUAGGUAGCGCCUCGUGAAUUCAUCUUCGGGGGUAGAGCACUGUUUCGGCUAGGGGGUCAUCCCGACUUACCAACCCGAUGCAAACUACGAAUACCGAAGAAUGUUAUCACGGGAGACACACGGCGGGUGCUAACGUCCGUCGUGAAGAGGGAAACAACCCAGACCGCCAGCUAAGGUCCCAAAGUCAUGGUUAAGUGGGAAACGAUGUGGGAAGGCCCAGACAGCCAGGAUGUUGGCUUAGAAGCAGCCAUCAUUUAAAGAAAGCGUAAUAGCUCACUGGUCGAGUCGGCCUGCGCGGAAGAUGUAACGGGGCUAAACCAUGCACCGAAGCUGCGGCAGCGACACUAUGUGUUGUUGGGUAGGGGAGCGUUCUGUAAGCCGUUGAAGGUGGCCUGUGAGGGUUGCUGGAGGUAUCAGAAGUGCGAAUGCUGACAUAAGUAACGAUAAUGCGGGUGAAAAACCCGCACGCCGGAAGACCAAGGGUUCCUGUCCAACGUUAAUCGGGGCAGGGUGAGUCGACCCCUAAGGCGAGGCCGAAAGGCGUAGUCGAUGGGAAACAGGUUAAUAUUCCUGUACUUGGUGUUACUGCGAAGGGGGGACGGAGAAGGCUAUGUUGGCCGGGCGACGGUUGUCCCGGUUUAAGCAUGUAGGCGGAUGUUCCAGGUAAAUCCGGAACGUCACUAACGCUGAGGUGUGAUGACGAGGCACUACGGUGCUGAAGUGACAAAUGCCCUGCUUCCAGGAAAAGCCUCUAAGCAUCAGGUAACAUCAAAUCGUACCCCAAACCGACACAGGUGGUCAGGUAGAGAAUACCAAGGCGCUUGAGAGAACUCGGGUGAAGGAACUAGGCAAAAUGGUGCCGUAACUUCGGGAGAAGGCACGCUGAUGGUAAGUGAAGUGACUUGCUCAUGGAGCUGAAAUCAGUCGAAGAUACCAGCUGGCUGCAACUGUUUAUUAAAAACACAGCACUGUGCAAACACGAAAGUGGACGUAUACGGUGUGACGCCUGCCCGGUGCCGGAAGGUUAAUUGAUGGGGUUAUCCUCACGGAGAAGCUCUUGAUCGAAGCCCCGGUAAACGGCGGCCGUAACUAUAACGGUCCUAAGGUAGCGAAAUUCCUUGUCGGGUAAGUUCCGACCUGCACGAAUGGCGUAAUGAUGGCCAGGCUGUCUCCACCCGAGACUCAGUGAAAUUGAACUCGCUGUGAAGAUGCAGUGUACCCGCGGCAAGACGGAAAGACCCCGUGAACCUUUACUAUAGCUUGACACUGAACACUGGUCCUUGAUGUGUAGGAUAGGUGGGAGGCUUUGAAGUGUGGACGCCAGUCUGCAUGGAGCCGUCCUUGAAAUACCACCCUUUAAUGGCUGGUGUUCUAACGUGGGCCCGUGAUCCGGGUUGCGGACAGUGUCUGGUGGGUAGUUUGACUGGGGCGGUCUCCUCCUAAAGAGUAACGGAGGAGCACGAAGGUCAGCUAAUCCUGGUCGGACAUCAGGAGGUUAGUGCAAUGGCAUAAGCUGGCUUGACUGCGAGCGUGACGGCGCGAGCAGGUGCGAAAGCAGGUCAUAGUGAUCCGGUGGUUCUGAAUGGAAGGGCCAUCGCUCAACGGAUAAAAGGUACUCCGGGGAUAACAGGCUGAUACCGCCCAAGAGUUCAUAUCGACGGCGGUGUUUGGCACCUCGAUGUCGGCUCAUCACAUCCUGGGGCUGAAGUAGGUCCCAAGGGUAUGGCUGUUCGCCAUUUAAAGUGGUACGCGAGCUGGGUUUAGAACGUCGUGAGACAGUUCGGUCCCUAUCUGCCGUGGGCGCUGGAGAAUUGAGGGGGGCUGCUCCUAGUACGAGAGGACCGGAGUGGACGCAUCACUGGUGUUCGGGUUGUCAUGCCAAUGGCAUUGCCCGGUAGCUAAAUGCGGAAGAGAUAAGUGCUGAAAGCAUCUAAGCACGAAACUUGCCCCGAGAUGAGUUCUCCCUGACUCCUUGAGAGUCCUGAAGGAACGUUGAAGACGACGACGUUGAUAGGCCGGGUGUGUAAGCGCAGCGAUGCGUUGAGCUAACCGGUACUAAUGAACCGUGAGGCUUAACCUUACAACGCCGAAG